UACGUAGGGGGCAAGCGUUAUCCGGAUUUACUGGGUGUAAAGGGAGCGUAGACGGCAAUGCAAGUCUGGAGUGAAAGGCGGGGGCCCAACCCCCGGACUGCUCUGGAAACUGUAUAGCUGGAGUGCAGGAGAGGUAAGUGGAAUUCCUAGUGUAGCGGUGAAAUGCGUAAAUAUUAGGAGGAACACCAGUGGCGAAGGCGGCUUACUGGACUGUAACUGACGUUGAGGCUCGAAAGCGUGGGGAGCAAACAGG
rnacentral:rRNA from 1 species